GAUGAACGCUAGCUACAGGCUUAACACAUGCAAGUCGAGGGACCGGCGCACGGGUGAGUAACACGUAUCCAACCUGCCCUUUACUCGGCGAUAGCCUUUCGAAAGAAAGAUUAAUACCCGCUAUAAAGGAUGGGGAUGCGUGUCAUUAGGUUGGUGGUGCGGGAACGGCCCACCAAGCCUUCGAUGGAUAGGGGUUCUGAUAGGAAGGUCCCCCACAUUGGAAAUGAUACACGGUCCAGACUCCUACGGACGGCAGCAGUGAGGAAUAUUGGUCAAUGGUCGGUAGCCUGAACCAGCCAAGUAGCGUGAAGGAUGAAGGCUUAUGGGUCGUAAACUUCUUUUAUAUAAGAAUAGGUAUUAUAUGAAUAAGGAUCGGCUAACUCCGUGCCAGCAGCCGCGGUAAUAC
rnacentral:rRNA from 1 species